rfam:Ricinus communis cultivar Hale ctg_1100012362466, whole genome shotgun sequence.
GGGUGCGAUCAUACCAGCACUAAUGCACUGGAUCCCAUCCGAACUCCGAUGUUAAACGUGCUUGGGCGAGAGUAGUACUAAGAUGGGUGACCUCUUGGAAAGUCCUCCGGUUGCACCCC